rnacentral:rRNA from 1 species
GACGAACGCUGGCGGUGUGCUUAACACAUGCAAGUCGAACGGAAAGGCCCUGCUUUUGUGGGGUGCUCGAGUGGCGAACGGGUGAGUAACACGUGAGUAACCUGCCCUUGACUUUGGGAUAACUUCAGGAAACUGGGGCUAAUACCGGAUAGGAGCUCCUGCUGCAUGGUGGGGGUUGGAAAGUUUCGGCGGUUGGGGAUGGACUCGCGGCUUAUCAGCUUGUUGGUGGGGUAGUGGCUUACCAAGGCUUUGACGGGUAGCCGGCCUGAGAGGGUGACCGGCCACAUUGGGACUGAGAUACGGCCCAGACUCCUACGGGAGGCAGCAGUGGGGAAUAUUGCACAAUGGGCUGAAGCCUGAUGCAGCAACGCCGCGUGCGGGAUGACGGCCUUCGGGUUGUAAACCGCUUUCGCCUGUGACGAAGCGUGAGUGACGGUAAUGGGUAAAGAAGCACCGGCUAACUACGUG